rnacentral:tRNA from 1 species
GAAGCCCCGGCACCUUUUGGGGUGCUUCUCCAGACUUGCAAUCUGUUGUACACCGUACUGCGGGG